GAUGAAGAACGCAGCGAAAUGCGAUAAGUAGUGUGAAUUGCAGAAUUCCGUGAAUCAUCGAAUCUUUGAACGCACAUUGCGCCUCCUGGUAGUCCGGGAGGCAUGCCUGUUCGAGCGUCACCAAAUCCAACUCAAGCGGUUUUGCGCUUGGUCGUGGCGGAAGAGUCGGUCUGGUUGCCGUCUCCCCUCCGAAAAUCAACGGCGGAAAGUCACUGGCAGUCAGCGUAGUAGUAUCGUUCGCCGAACAUCCAGUGGCAUUCCUGCCGACGUACCCCCACAAUUCUCGUGAUUGACCUCGGAUCAGGUAGGGAUACCCGGUGAACUUAAGCAUAUCAAUAAGCGGAGGA
rnacentral:misc_RNA from 1 species